GAAGGGGAGGAGUAGAAUGUAUCUUUGAACAUACCCAGUGUUAGGUUUCUUUUUUAAGCACAUACAGAUGUUUGGGGCUGUACGUGCUGUCACGACCAUAGAGAACCUCACAGCAAACGCAGGGAAAAGAUCGAAAAAGAACAUUUUUUGUGGAUUAAUUGCUUCCGGUUGCAGAAGCCCAGUGAGUUGUAUGUAUCAAAUGGCUGCCCACGGCUCUUCCCAUGCCAAGUCUAGCCUACAGACACACCCAGAAAGGAUUUUCUUUUCCGCACGUACACAGCUCGAGUUGGAAAAAGUGAGAAGUGCUCUGUCAGGAAGCUGGCUGCGGAUUCAGCUGAGAGAGAGAGAGGUCCCUCGUCCAGGGGCCUUUCCCUUGCCACACACUUAUUUUUUGUGGUUGGCUUAAGACAGCAGCCCAAGAGCCAGUAUUCGAUAGGACAUCUCCCACCCCUUCCAGAAGAAGUCGCCGCAAGAAGGCACUGAGCGGGGAGCACGCUGGACUGGAGGCCACCCCGACCCCACUCUAGCAAGAGGUCCGUGUUCUUCCUAACUUUCCUUAGUGACUUCUGAGGAUGGAGUGCCUCUUAUGAACUUCUAAGCUGACCCCAGAUUCUCCUCUGUUGGCUUAUGAUACCUUGGUCCAGGGAUUGGCAAACUGUGGCCAGUGGGUCGAAUCCAGCCCGACGCCUGCUUUUGUAAAUAAAGUUUUACUGGAACACA